CCUACGGGAGGCUGCAGUGGGGAAUAUUGGGCAAUGGGCGCAAGCCUGACCCAGCAACGCCGCGUGAAGGAAGAAGGCUUUCGGGUUGUAAACUUCUUUUCUCAGGGACGAAGCAAGUGACGGUACCUGCGGAAUAAGCCACGGCUAACUACGUGCCAGCAGCCGCGGUAAUACGUAGGUGGCAAGCGUUAUCCGGAUUUACUGGGUGUAAAGGGCGUGUAGGCGGGAAAGCAAGUCAGAUGUGAAAACCAUGGGCUCAACCUGUGGCCUGCAUUUGAAACUGUUUUACUUGAGUACUGGAGAGGCAGACGGAAUUCCUAGUGUAGCGGUGAAAUGCGUAGAUAUUAGGAGGAACACCAGUGGCGAAGGCGGUCUGCUGGACAGCAACUGACGCUGAGGCGCGAAAGCGAGGGGAGCAAACAGGAUUAGAUACCCUGGUAGUC
rnacentral:rRNA from 1 species